UGGGGAAUAUUGCACAAUGGGCGCAAGCCUGAUGCAGCCAUGCCGCUUGUAUGAAGAAGGCCUUCGGUUUGUAAAGUACUUUCAGCGGGGAGGAAGGGAGUAAAGUUAAUACCUUUGCUCAUUGACGUUACCCGCAGAAGAAGCACCGGCUAACUCCGUGCCAGCAGCCGCGGUAAUACGGAGGGUGCAAGCGUUAAUCGGAAUUACUGGGCGUAAAGCGCACGCAGGCGGUCUGUCAAGUCGGAUGUGAAAUCCCCGGGCUCAACCUGGGAACUGCAUUCGAAACUGGCAGGCUAGAGUCUUGUAGAGGGGGGUAGAAUUCCAGGUGUAGCGGUGAAAUGCGUAGAGAUCUGGAGGAAUACCGGUGGCGAAGGCGGCCCCCUGGACAAAGACUGACGCUCAGGUGCGAAAGCGUGGGGAGCAAACAGG
rnacentral:rRNA from 1 species